CGGAAGCGGGAGCAGGCUGGGCGAGCCGAGCCGAGGCCUAUCUGGGCUGAGCCGGGCGGGAGCAGGCUGGGGGGCCGAGGCGAGGCCUAGCCGGGCUGAGCUGAGCCGGGCCGGGCGGGUUGAUCCCCGGGAAGCGGCCCCAGCCGCACGAAUGAAGAGCUAAGGGAAGUGGCUGGUGCUGGUUUAAUGGGCUCCGAGGUCCGGCUCCUGCUCCGCGGGGGUGUCUCUGCUGGGGGGGUCUCUCCAGCUCCCUGCUGCUCACGCAGCCUGUGGCCACUGCUGCACUACAGCUGCCCAGCUACCGGCUGCAGGUCUGGCUAACAGUUUCAUGUUCAGAUGUCUGUUCACAUGGAGCACAAUGGAAUAAUUGGAGCAUCAAAUCCAACACAGUAUCUUUGUAAGACUUGGGUGGGGAUUUUAGAGCAAUACUGAAUGCUUAAAGGAUGUAACCAGUUAAGUAAAGCCUGCUUCAUUAGAAAGAGGUGCCGGGGUAGAAAAAGAUUUAUUAUUUUGCUACUUAAAACAAUCAUUGAAGUGCAAAUAGACUCAAGUUCCAGUGUCAUAUACAGUAAUUCACUUAACGUUGUAGUUAUGUUCCUGAAAAAUGCUACUUUAAGUGAAAUGAUGUUAAGCGAAUCCAAUUUCCCCAUAAGAAUUAAUGUAAAGUGUGGGGGGUUAGGUUCCAGGGAAACUUUUUUCACCAGACAAGACAUCCUAUUCAUAUACUGUGUGUGUAAAAUAAAUAAAAAAUAAACUUUAAACAAAAUUUAAUACUGUACAUAACAAUGAUGACAGCAUGGCAGAAAGAGACAGACACACACAUGUGUAAGAGAGAGAUGCGCAUUGCCCCUUUAGGUACGCUGACCCCACUCUAAGUACACUGCUGGCAGCAGCUGCUGUCUCAACUUGCUGAUCUACUUAAAAAGGCAAGCUCCUUCCAUCCUGAGCCCUGUCAUAGCCCCCUGCUCUGUGGGGAACUUACGGGAGCUGAUGGGGGGUCCACCCUGGUUCCAAGCCCCCACCAGCUAGCUCCAACAGGCUGCUCUUUCUGAAAGCAGUGGCCAGAGCAGGUGGCUGCUUAAUAACAUAAGGGAGCAUUGCGCAACUUUAAAUGAGCAUGUUCUCUAAUUGAUCAGCAACAAAACAAUGUUCACCGGGAUGACUUUAGUGAAGAGUUACUGUACUAACUUUAAAAUUAUAUAAAUUUUAGGUCAAGACACUAAUGAAUCACUGAUUUAAAAUUAACGUAAAAGGUUCAAAGUCCAUAGGACUAAGCAUAAUUCAACAGAAAUGUCAGUGAUCAGUCAUGGGCUGCAAUAAGGAGACAAAUUGUUUUUUUCACUUGUGCUAGCUGAGAGUGAGGAGCACUAUUGGACACCAAAAGACCCUGGCAAAAAAUUAACCCUAAAACCACCUUUUCAAUAAACACUCUAGCCCCAGUCUGGUAGCCUUUAUUUACAUGAGCAGUCCCACUGGAGUUGGUGGGACUAUGUUUGUAGAUCGGUGUAAUCAAGCCUUCUGGGGCUGGCCAUGUUGUAAGGUUGUAUUGUUCUCCUGGAGCAUCUUGCUUAUCAAUUUUUCAGAAAAAAUGUAAUAACUGUUGGGAAAUAUUUGCUGAAUCAAGAUGUAAUGGAUGAUAUGAAUUAAUUCCAAAUCUGAGCUAUAUUAAAGCCUUGUAAAAUCUA